CUUAAAGUGUCUUAGAAGACGUUCAAAAAAUAUUGAGACUAAUCACGGUUAAGCGCCGCCGGGAACUAUCACCUAGGCCAUGCCCGUGCCUGAAAGAAAAAGUCAGGACGUUGAUUCGAACGGAUUCGAAUGCAACGAGCACUAAGUACGGUCACAUUAUUGGAGGAAUGACCGUGUGCUUGGUUCGUGAUUUGGAGUCACAAGUGAUAGCUGCAAGCUGAUAUCACUCGAACCACUGCACCAACCCGACUAAGCAUGAUCGAAAAAAGCUGCAGCUCAUUAUGGCGUCAGUUUAGCUUUAAUGCUAAAUUUCGCAAACACGGUGAACUAGAUUGACAAUAAUAAAAAAUGAACUUUAUUCGUCA